rnacentral:lncRNA from 1 species
AAAUGCGUUUAAUAACUUGAUUUACCACUAAGCAUUAUAAGGGAAAAUAUGAAACUUGGAGAAAGAGAAACCCUCCCCCCUCUCUCUCUCUCUCUCUCAAUCCAGCAGGUAAUGGAUCUAUGCUUCUUCAUUGCAUUGUCAGGCUGGUUUAUUGUCAAUGAAGCAUUUAGUUGGUCGAUCUAGCAUUCAGCAAUCUAAAUUUCUCUUAAAACCUAACAGCGACGAAGAUCUGAGAAAAAAAAAACCCAAUUAGCAAAUAUGAAAUUAAUGUUACCCAUAAUACAAGUAGUCUUUAAUUCAUAAUAUUUUUAAUACCACAAAAAAAAAAACAAGAGGAAUUACUGAAGUUGGUGAACAGGGCCAGCUAAUAUUGUAAUGAAUAGGCUGGGUGAAGAGGGAGACCAAUAAACUUAAAAUCGGCCACACAUGGUGGAGGGUACGAGGAAAGUGGGUUAGCAUGGGGCAAUGCCUAUGAAUGGGAUGGAUGCUUGAAAGUUGAAAAGCCUCACUGAAUUCACGUCAUAAGAAAAUGUUGGGGAGUCACUGUA